rnacentral:sRNA from 1 species
UCCAUGAAUGUGGGACAACGCCGAGGA